rnacentral:rRNA from 1 species
UAGGGAAUCUUCGGCAAUGGACGAAAGUCUGACCGAGCAACGCCGCGUGAGUGAAGAAGGUUUUCGGAUCGUAAAACUCUGUUGUUAGAGAAGAACAAGGACGUUAGUAACUGAACGUCCCCUGACGGUAUCUAACCAGAAAGCCACGGCUAACUACGUGCCAGCAGCCGCGGUAAUACGUAGGUGGCAAGCGUUGUCCGGAUUUAUUGGGCGUAAAGCGAGCGCAGGCGGUUUCUUAAGUCUGAUGUGAAAGCCCCCGGCUCAACCGGGGAGGGUCAUUGGAAAAUGGGAGACUUGAGUGCAGAAGAGGAGAGUGGAAUUCCAUGUGUAGAGGUGAAAUGCGUAGAUAUAUGGAGGAACACGAGUGGCGAAGACGGCUCACUGGUCUGAAAAUGAAGCUGAGGCUCGAAAGCGUGGGGAGCAAACAGG